GCCACAGCCCUCCACAUCUAGCGGAGCACUGCUCCCAGCGCUACCACUGUUGCUUGUAGGGGAAGGUUUAGGGGUGGCCGCUGCACCCAUCUCGUUACCCUAAACGUACACAGUGCAAGGGGAGGGGGAAGGGCGCGGCAUGCGCUGAAGACAGUCUUAGGGAAAAAAAUUUAGGGGGAAUGGGACCGAACCAUCCACGCAACGAAUAUUCUCUCUAGAUGCCGCAUCAUCCCGUCCGCGAACGUCGCCGUCCGGGACGGAGCGCCUCGCUCGCAACCCACCCCUCCUCUCUCGGCGACUCGGUUCUCCCUCCCGCGGGACGCCACCGGAGCUGACUGCCGCUGCUGGGGCCUGGCCGUUCUCUCAUGGUCAUGGAGACGCCUUCGCAGGAUCGUCGUAUUGGAGCAAUUGAUGGGUCAGAUAUAAGAGCAUCUAUGGAGACUGCCUUUCGUCGUAGGAAGUUAUUUGCAUCCCAAAAUGUGUUGGCAGCUACAAAUUUUUAUUUUCAUUCUACCAGAGGACAAUUGGACACCAAAGGCCAAAGCCACGGAGGACAGCACGAUAACAAGCAAAUAACCAUACGCUAAUGAUAGAGAAGAGAAAUGAUUUCUGAGAGAAUGUGGGCAGAUUGUUAAAACCACCGCGACAACUAAAAUAUGUAGUGCUUUAUGUAAUAGUGAACUAGCAAUGGCAUGGACUUUGCCCUGCUUGUUUUCUUUAUGUGAUAUACUAGUGAUGUUGUGGACAAAUCUUCAGUAUUCUCAUUGAA